rnacentral:rRNA from 1 species
AGUGAACGCUGGCGGUAGGCCUAACACAUGCAAGUCGAACGGCAGCACAGUAAGGGCUUGCUCUUACGGGUGGCGAGUGGCGGACGGGUGAGGAAUACAUCGGAAUCUACUUUUUCGUGGGGGAUAACGUAGGGAAACUUACGCUAAUACCGCAUACGACCUACGGGUGAAAGCAGGGGAUCUUCGGACCUUGCGCGAUUGAAUGAGCCGAUGUCGGAUUAGCUAGUUGGCGGGGUAAAGGCCCACCAAGGCGACGAUCCGUAGCUGGUCUGAGCGGAUGAUCAGCCACACUGGAACUGAGACACGGUCCAGACUCCUACGGGAGGCAGCAGUGGGGAAUAUUGGACAAUGGGCGCAGGCCUGAUCCAGCCAUACCGCGUGGGUGAAGAAGGCCUUCGGGUUGUAAAGCCCUUUUGUUGGGAAAGAAAAGCAGCAGGUUAAUACCCCGCUGUUCUGACGGUACCCAAAGAAUAAGCACCGGCUAACUUCGUG